UUAGAGUUUGAUCAUGGCUCAGGAUGAACGCUGGCGGUGUGCCUAAUACAUGCAAGUCGAACGCGUUGGCCCAAUUGAUUGAUGGUGCUUGCACCUGAUUGAUUUUGGUCGCCAACGAGUGGCGGACGGGUGAGUAACACGUAGGUAACCUGCCCAGAAGCGGGGGACAACAUUUGGAAACAGAUGCUAAUACCGCAUAACAGCGUUGUUCGCAUGAACAACGCUUAAAAGAUGGCUUCUCGCUAUCACUUCUGGAUGGACCUGCGGUGCAUUAGCUUGUUGGUGGGGUAACGGCCUACCAAGGCGAUGAUGCAUAGCCGAGUUGAGAGACUGAUCGGCCACAAUGGGACUGAGACACGGCCCAUACUCCUACGGGAGGCAGCAGUAGGGAAUCUUCCACAAUGGGCGCAAGCCUGAUGGAGCAACACCGCGUGAGUGAAGAAGGGUUUCGGCUCGUAAAGCUCUGUUGUUAAAGAAGAACACGUAUGAGAGUAACUGUUCAUACGUUGACGGUAUUUAACCAGAAAGUCACGGCUAACUACGUGCCAGCAGCCGCGGUAAUACGUAGGUGGCAAGCGUUAUCCGGAUUUAUUGGGCGUAAAGAGAGUGCAGGCGGUUUUCUAAGUCUGAUGUGAAAGCCUUCGGCUUAACCGGAGAAGUGCAUCGGAAACUGGAUAACUUGAGUGCAGAAGAGGGUAGUGGAACUCCAUGUGUAGCGGUGGAAUGCGUAGAUAUAUGGAAGAACACCAGUGGCGAAGGCGGCUACCUGGUCUGCAACUGACGCUGAGACUCGAAAGCAUGGGUAGCGAACAGGAUUAGAUACCCUGGUAGUCCAUGCCGUAAACGAUGAGUGCUAGGUGUUGGAGGGUUUCCGCCCUUCAGUGCCGGAGCUAACGCAUUAAGCACUCCGCCUGGGGAGUACGACCGCAAGGUUGAAACUCAAAGGAAUUGACGGGGGCCCGCACAAGCGGUGGAGCAUGUGGUUUAAUUCGAAGCUACGCGAAGAACCUUACCAGGUCUUGACAUCUUGCGCCAACCCUAGAGAUAGGGCGUUUCCUUCGGGAACGCAAUGACAGGUGGUGCAUGGUCGUCGUCAGCUCGUGUCGUGAGAUGUUGGGUUAAGUCCCGCAACGAGCGCAACCCUUGUUACUAGUUGCCAGCAUUAAGUUGGGCACUCUAGUGAGACUGCCGGUGACAAACCGGAGGAAGGUGGGGACGACGUCAGAUCAUCAUGCCCCUUAUGACCUGGGCUACACACGUGCUACAAUGGACGGUACAACGAGUCGCGAACUCGCGAGGGCAAGCAAAUCUCUUAAAACCGUUCUCAGUUCGGACUGCAGGCUGCAACUCGCCUGCACGAAGUCGGAAUCGCUAGUAAUCGCGGAUCAGCAUGCCGCGGUGAAUACGUUCCCGGGCCUUGUACACACCGCCCGUCACACCAUGAGAGUUUGUAACACCCAAAGUCGGUGGGGUAACCUUUUAGGAGCCAGCCGCCUAAGGUGGGACAGAUGAUUAGGGUGAAGUCGUA
rnacentral:rRNA from 2 species